rnacentral:rRNA from 1 species
CGUGUAGGCGGCACGAUAAGUUGGAUGUGAAAGCUCCCGGCUAAACUGGGAGAGGGCGUUCAAUACUGUCGAGCUUGAGGAUGGGAGAGGGAGGUGGAAUUCCGGGUGUAGUGGUGAAAUGCGUAGAUAUCCGGAGGAACACCAGUGGCGAAGGCGGCCUCCUGGCCCAUUUCUGACGCUCAGACGCGAAAGCUAGGGUAGCAAACG